GUUGUUGCAACAGUAAUCCUGCUCAGUACGAGAGGAACCGCAGGUUCGGACAUUUGGUGUAUGUGCUUGGCUGAGGAGCCAAUGGUGCGAAGUUACCAUCCGUGGGAUUAUGACUGAACGCCUCUAAGUCAGAAUCCCGCCUAGACGCAGCGAU
rfam:Takifugu rubripes genomic scaffold, scaffold_284